UUAUUUUCUUUUUUUUAUAUCCAUUGGGUUACCAUGGACACACUUUCAGACCCAUGUCCUAUCCAUAUAUUUUGUGCGUAUGGAUACGUAUUACCCAAGGGUACAAAGUCUCGCCAAGUCUUACCCAUGGCCACUAUUUUUUGAUAGGGUACGUGCGGGUACCCAUACCCAUGGGCAAAUUUGCCAUCCCUACUCCCAUUAUCCCAAGUUACGACAAGUAUCACAUUGCAUGUGCGUUAUUUGUCGCAGCCUGAGAGUUCUGUUUUUUC
rnacentral:lncRNA from 1 species